GUUCCAUAAUGAGGGCACUUCCGUAAUAACUAUUUGUACCUUUCCCAUGCCUCAUACAAGGACUCAUCAUCCAUUUGUUGGAAAGCAGUGAUCUUGUUCCUUAACUU
rnacentral:snoRNA from 1 species